rnacentral:rRNA from 1 species
UAUGUAGGGUGCGAGCGUUGUCCGGAUUUAUUGGGCGUAAAGGGUGCGUAGGCGGCUCGGCACGUCCGUUGUGAAAUCGCCCGGCUCAACUGGGCGGGGUCAGCGGAUACUGUCGAGCUUGAGCAAGCUAGGGGGCAAUGGAAUUCCCGGUGUAGUGGUGGAAUGCGUAGAUAUCGGGAGGAACACCAGUGGCGAAGGCGGUUGCCUGGAGCUUUGCUGACGCUGAGGCGCGAAAGCGUGGGGAGCGAUCCGG